UUUCAAAUUGCUGUAUUGUUUGAGGUGACUAUUCAUGUGCAAAUCGAACGCAGCAUAGGUCACAGAUAAUUUUUCAACCAAAUAUUUACUGAUAACAGUAGCCGGAUUCAGAUUUCUCCUUCACUUUAUAUUCUUCUUGAAGAUGUGAAGGCAAGAUAUUUUUCCUUUGCCAACAUCUGCUCCCCUCACCCCUCUUUUUUUUUGGCUCACAGCAUGGAAACUACAGUUACAGCUUAGCCUGUUUUGCUUAUGGAACUGUGCCAGAAGCAGUUUUGAAGGUGUUUUAAAAAUGAAGACAUCUGGCAGCUGGCAUAUUCACAAUUCAUUUGCCAAAGACAAGUUGUAUGCUGCUGGAAUUUUCAUCUGAAGGUCACGCACCAGAAAUUGUCCACCUUGAGGAGAGGAAAGCAAUUCAGGGGCAGCGAGUCCCUGUGAGUCCCUUUUGCAUGAAGACU
rnacentral:lncRNA from 1 species